rnacentral:rRNA from 1 species
GAUGAACGCUAGCGGCAGGCUUAACACAUGCAAGUCGAGGGGCAGCAUGAUGAAACUUUCGGGUUUCAUUGAUGGCGACCGGCGCAAGGGUGCGUAACGCGUGAGCAACUUGCCCUUAUCAGGGGGAUAACCGGUGGAAACGCCGACUAAUACCCCAUAGCAUCAACUUUAGGCAUCUUUAGUUGAUUAAAGAAUUUCGGAUAAGGAUAGGCUCGCGUGACAUUAGCUAGAUGGCGGGGUAACGGCCCACCAUGGCGACGAUGUCUAGGGGUUCUGAGAGGAAGGUCCCCCACACUGGAACUGAGACACGGUCCAGACUCCUACGGGAGGCAGCAGUGAGGAAUAUUGGUCAAUGGAGGCAACUCUGAACCAGCCAAGUAGCGUGAGGGACGACUGCCCUACGGGUUGUAAACCUCUUUUGUCGGGGAAUAAACCGCGCCACGUGUGGCGCCCUGCAUGUACCCGCAGAAUAAGGACCGGCUAAUUCCGUGCCAG